rnacentral:piRNA from 1 species
UAUGACUUUGCAAGGUUUACC